rnacentral:rRNA from 1 species
AUUGAACGCUGGCGGCAGGCCUAACACAUGCAAGUCGAACGGUAGCACAGAGAGCUUGCUCUCGGGUGACGAGUGACGGACGGGUGAGUAAUGUCUGGGAAACUGCCCGAUGGAGGGGGAUAACUACUGGAAACGGUAGCUAAUACCGCAUAACGUCGCAAGACCAAAGUGGGGGACCUUCGGGCCUCACACCAUCGGAUGUGCCCAGAUGGGAUUAGCUAGUAGGUGGGGUAAUGGCUCACCUAGGCGACGAUCCCUAGCUGGUCUGAGAGGAUGACCAGCCACACUGGAACUGAGACACGGUCCAGACUCCUACGGGAGGCAGCAGUGGGGAAUAUUGCACAAUGGGCGCAAGCCUGAUGCAGCCAUGCCGCGUGUAUGAAGAAGGCCUUCGGGUUGUAAAGUACUUUCAGCGGGGAGGAAGGCGGUGAAGUUAAUAACUUCACCGAUUGACGUUACCCGCAGAAGAAGCACCGGCUAACUCCGUGCCAGCAGCCGCCGCCG